rnacentral:rRNA from 1 species
GGGUUGUGAGGUUAAGCGACUAAGCGUACACGGUGGAUGCCCUGGCAGUCAGAGGCGAUGAAGGACGUGCUAAUCUGCGAUAAGCGCCGGUAAGGUGAUAUGAACCGUUAUAACCGGCGAUACCCGAAUGGGGAAACCCAGUGUGACUCGUCACACUAUCAUUAACUGAAUCCAUAGGUUAAUGAGGCGAAC